AUGCACGCUAGCGGCAGGCCUAACACAUGCAAGUCGAGGGAGAAGCCUUUCGGGGCAGAAACCGGCGCACGGGUGCGUAACGCGUAUGCAACCUACCUUUCACAGGGGGAUAGCCCGAAGAAAUUUGGAUUAAUACCCCAUAAUAUUGUUGGAUGGCAUCAUCUGAUAAUUAAAACUGCGGUGGUGAAAGAUGGGCAUGCGUCCUAUUAGCUAGUUGGAGUGGUAACGGCACCCCAAGGCUACGAUAGGUAGGGGUCCUGAGAGGGAGAUCCCCCACACUGGUACUGAGACAGGGACCAGACUCCUACGGGAGGCAGCAGUGAGGAAUAUUGGUCAAUGGUCGGAAGACUGAACCAGCCAUGCCGCGUGCAGGAAGAAUGCCUUAUGGGUUGUAAACUGCUUUUAUAUGGGAAGAAUAAGGUGUACGUGUACAUUGAUGACGGUACCAUAUGAAUAAGCAUCGGCUAACUCCGUG
rnacentral:rRNA from 1 species